rnacentral:rRNA from 1 species
AUUGAACGCUGGCGGCAUGCCUUACACAUGCAAGUCGAACGGCAGCACGGGAGCAAUCCUGGUGGCGAGUGGCGAACGGGUGAGUAAUAUAUCGGAACGUGCCCAGUCGUGGGGAUAACGUAGCGAAAGCUACGCUAAUACCGCAUACGAUCUAUGGAUGAAAGCGGGGGAUCGCAAGACCUCGCGCGAUUGGAGCGGCCGAUAUCAGAUUAGGUAGUUGGUGAGGUAAAGGCUCACCAAGCCGACGAUCUGUAGCUGGUCUGAGAGGACGACCAGCCACACUGGGACUGAGACACGGCCCAGACUCCUACGGGAGGCAGCAGUGGGGAAUUUUUGGACAAUGGGCGCAAGCCUGAUCCGAGCAAUGCCGCGUGCAGGAU